rnacentral:rRNA from 1 species
UAGGCUUCCGCAAGGACACUCGUAGAGGUGCUGCAUGGCUGUCGUCAGCUCGUGUCGUGAGAUGUUGGGUUAAGUCCCGCAACGAGCGAAACCCUUGUCCUUAGUUGCCAGCGCGUAAUGGCGGGGACUCUAAGGAGACUGCCGGUGCCAAACCGGAAGAAGGUGGGGAUGACGUCAAGUCAUCAUGGUCCUUACGUCUAGGGCUACACACGUGCUACAAUGGCGGGGACAGAGGGUCGCGAGCCGGCAACGGCNANCCAAUCCCCGAAACCCCGCCUCAGUUCGGAUUGUCNUCUGCAACUCGACGGCAUGAAGCUGGAAUCGCUNGUAAUCGUGGAUCANCUACNCCACGGUGAAUACGUUCCCGGGCCUUGUACACACCGCCCGUCACGCCAUGGAAGCUGUGAGCGCCCGAAGUCCGUGUCGGAACCCGCAAGGGGCCAAGCGGCCGAAGGCGAGCGCAGUGACUGGGGCGAAGUCGUAACAAGGUAGCCGU